CGGGGCUUCUGUUGACAGAGGGGCGGGACGGUUCCCUACCUCCCGCCGUGAGGCAGAGGCCCGCAGAGGACCGGGUCGAAUCCCAGGGGAGCAGGAGGAUCCGUGAGUGGAGAGCCAGGCGCGGAGCGGGGUGGGGGCGCGCGGAGGGCGCGCGCGCGCGCGCACGUGGGAGGGCGCCGCCUGGGCCGGCUCUUCCCCUCCCCCCGCUCCCGCCCCCGGUCGGCUGCUGGGGCGCGCGCCUCGCCUCGCACCCCCACCCCCGACUCCCUAAGCUCCACGGAGUUCGCAGAGCUUCCGAAGCCGUGAGCCGACCCGCCGAGCGGUUCCGGGUGUAGGGUUCACAGGUCAGAGUUGACUCCCUGAAGAGUGCAGCCGGUUUGAAAUGCAAGAUGGCGGCGGCGGGGCUCUGAGAGGCACGGCGGCCCCUGCAGGAGAUGGCAGAUAGGUACUUUGGACCUGUUGGUAAUGAUGGCCUGAGCUAAACAUCUCCUAAUUUGAGGGGACACCCUUCUGUGUCAAAGAACAGAAUGCGGAGGAAGCUAUGGCAAGUGAUUGGAGUUGUGCUUCAAAAAUUUCAGCAGUUCAGCAGUAUUUUAUUUGCCAACCAUAAGCUCUUUACUUGAUAGCACCAUGAAAAAGCUGCUAAUGAGACUUGUUGAGCACAAAGACAGACUUGAAGAACCAAAAGCCAUUGUUUUCAAAUGAAGAAUACUGAACAGUUUUAAGCCCCAAUGCUUUUUAAUCACCACUGAGAUUUCCCCCAUAACAUCAGAAUGGCAAGCAGGCGAAAAUCCACAACACCCUGCAUGGUCCUUGCCAGUGAACAGGAUCCAGACCUCGAGUUGAUAUCAGAUUUGGAUGAAGGUCCUCCUGUACUUACACCUGUAGAAAACACCAGAGCAGAGAGUAUCUCAAGUGAUGAAGAAGUUCAUGAAUCCGUGGACUCUGACAAUCAGCAAAAUAAAAAAGUUGAAGGUGGCUAUGAAUGUAAAUAUUGUACUUUUCAAACUCCAGAUCUAAAUAUGUUUACUUUUCAUGUGGAUUCAGAACAUCCCAAUGUAGUGCUAAACUCCUCCUAUGUUUGUGUCGAAUGCAAUUUUCUUACCAAAAGGUAUGAUGCACUUUCCGAGCAUAAUCUGAAAUAUCACCCAGGAGAAGAAAAUUUCAAGUUGACGAUGGUGAAACGAAAUAACCAGACAAUCUUUGAACAAACAAUAAAUGAUCUGACUUUUGAUGGUAGUUUUGUUAAAGAGGAGAAUUCAGAGCAAGCUGAAUCGACAGAAGUUUCUUCUUCGGGAAUAUCUAUCAGUAAAACUCCUAUCAUGAAAAUGAUGAAAAAUAAAGUGGAGAACAAACGGAUUACAGUUCAUCAUAAUUCAGUUGAGGACGUUCCGGAAGAGAAAGAGAAUGAAAUCAAACCAGACCGUGAAGGAACUGUGGAAAAUCCAAGUUCUUCAGCUUCUGAAUCAAAUACGAGUACUUCCACUGUAAACAGAAUACAUCCAAAUACUGCCAGCACAGUUGUGACCCCGGCAGCAGUUCUUCCUGGGUUAGCACAGGUUAUCACUGCUGUAUCAGCUCAGCAGAAUUCCAAUUUGAUCCCCAAAGUCCUCAUCCCUGUUAAUAGCAUUCCUACUUACAAUGCUGCAUUGGAUAACAACCCCCUUUUGCUUAACACCUACAACAAAUUCCCUUAUCCGACAAUGUCAGAAAUUACUGUUCUUUCUGCCCAAGCAAAAUAUACAGAGGAACAGAUCAAGAUAUGGUUUUCAGCCCAACGUCUAAAACAUGGUGUCAGCUGGACUCCCGAGGAAGUCGAGGACGCGAGGAGAAAACAAUCCAACGGAACGGUGCACACUGUGCCUCAGACCAUAACUGUCGUCCCCGCCCACAUUUCCACAGGGAGUAAUGGUUUACCAUCCAUCUUACAGACAUGCCAAAUAGUUGGCCAGCCGGGUCUGGUCCUUACCCAAGUGGCUGGCACGAAUACCUUGCCAGUAGCAGCACCUAUAGCCUUGACAGUGGCAGGGGUUCCAAAUCAAACAAACGCACAGAAAAGUCAGCUCCCGGCGGCUCAGCCUACUGCAGAGACCAAGCCAGCAGCAGCAGGAGCCCCAUCCUCUCAGCUUGUAAAAAAUGAGACUGCAGGGGCGAACCCGGAUGCGUUCGGCGUUCGGGCAAAAAAGACUAAAGAGCAACUGGCGGAAUUAAAAGUUAGUUACCUAAAGAAUCAGUUUCCCCACGAUUCCGAAAUUAUCAGGCUGAUGAAAAUCACAGGGCUGACAAAAGGAGAGAUUAAAAAAUGGUUUAGUGACACAAGGUACAACCAGAGAAAUUCAAAGAGUAAUCAGUGCUUACAUCUCAACAAUGAUUCCUCCGCCACUAUUAUCAUAGACUCCAGUGAUGAAACCACGGAAUCCCCAACUGUUGUCACUUCACAGCAGAAACAAUCCUGGAAUCCUUUUCCAGACUUUACUCCCCAAAAGUUUAAAGAGAAGACGGCAGAGCAGCUUCGUGCCCUACAGGCGAGUUUUCUCAACAGCUCUGUACUUACAGAAGAAGAAUUAAAUAGGUUAAGAGCGCAAACCAAACUUACCAGAAGGGAAAUUGAUGCUUGGUUUACAGAGAAGAAGAAAUCAAAAGCUUUAAAGGAAGAGAAAGGAGAAAUAGAGGAAAGCAAUGCAGGUAGUUCCAAAGAAGAAACUGGAGAAACUUCUCCUGGAGAUGAGUCUAGUGCACCUAAGUCAGGGAGUACGGGCAAAAUAUGUAAAAAAACACCCGAGCAGUUGCACAUGCUUAAAAGCGCGUUUGUCCGAACACAGUGGCCGUCGCCAGAAGAGUAUGACAAGUUGGCUGAAGAAAGCGGGCUUGCUAGAACAGACAUAGUUAGUUGGUUUGGGGACACCCGUUAUGCUUGGAAAAAUGGAAACUUAAAAUGGUACUACUACUAUCAAAGCGCCAAUUCAAGCAGUAUGAACGGUCUGUCUUCUCUUAGGAAACGGGGGAGAGGGAGACCCAAAGGAAGGGGAAGAGGAAGACCUCGCGGGCGGCCCAGAGGAAGCAAGAGAAUGAACAACUGGGACAGGGGGCCGUCCCUCAUCAAAUUCAAAACUGGAACUGCAAUACUGAAGGAUUAUUACCUGAAGCACAAAUUUCUUAACGAGCAGGACCUCGAUGAACUUGUUAACAAAUCACAUAUGGGCUACGAGCAGGUCAGAGAAUGGUUUGCUGAAAGACAGAGAAGAUCAGAGUUAGGUAUAGAAUUAUUUGAGGAGAAUGAGGAGGAAGAUGAAGUUAUUGAUGAUCAGGAAGAGGAUGAAGAAGAAACAGAUGACAGUGACACUUGGGAACCCCCACGACAUGUGAAGCGGAAGCUUUCUAAAUCAGAUGACUGAAAUGAAAGAAUUCAAAAACGAAAAUAAAAAGAAGGGGAAAAGUAUACCGAAGGAAAGACUUACCACAGGGGUGAAGAUUGCUCAGUUUUAGGAAACUAGCUGCCUAAAACGUUGGAGGAGAAUCAAUUCUUCAACUCCAGAUGUCUGGUUUACUGUGAAUGGGCUCAAUCUUUGAUGACACUGAAAACGUUUGGGGGCAUACACAAUCUCAAAAAAUAGGAUCCAAUACCCAAAAACAGUGGGACUCAAUGUUGUGUCAAUGUUAAACUGCUGCAGAUGGCAGAAGUCUUGCAGCGCCCACAGGACACUAAUUAAAACAAGUUGUAAGAAGUCACAUUUCAAUGCAGUGCAUUUUUAUUCUGAUAUGAUGGAGACAUUCUGAUUCUUAGACUUUCUGAGGGGGUUUAAUGACCACUAGAACUUGUCCUCAUAUUCUGUUCAGCUUAAUACUGUAUGUCUCAUAAGAUGGGCCUUAUUGCCUGUAUUCUUUGAUAUAUGAUUAAUUAAGAUUAUAGCUUUGAGUGACCAAACAUUUUACAGAGUAAAACUUGUUUGAAGCAGGAAAAAGAAAAAUCUGAUUUAUUUCUAUGUCUCAUUUCUCAGGCCCUGCACUAAGAUUAAGGAGUUGUGCAUGGGUUUAUGUAAUUUCAACGUAAGUGAAAAACAGGCUGUGGACAUAUUGGAGCAAGAAGGUUUUGUGGUAUCGUUGGCGCUUAACGAUUGAAUCUUUCAUUGAACACAUUCAUGGAUACCACUAUUACUACUUGUAAUACUCUGUUACUUUUUUUCAUUAGAAACUGAAUUAGCUUUUUCUUAAACCGAACAUAAUCAGUACUGAAGAAGGGAAAGAAACUGGCAUAAGAAUUUGGAUAGGGUGAAACUCUGAAAUAAAUAUUGUACCAAAAAUGUGAAAAGGAACCAUGUAGUAAAUAUUAACUUAGUGUUUUCUUACAAUCGUAUAGAAAUCAGAAAUUUUGUACAGGUGUCAGAUCAGAAUUUUCAAGAAUUAUCUUUUGGUGAAAUUCUACUUUGUGUAACAACUUCAAUGAAUAAAGAAAAAAAAUCUGACCUGAUCAGAAUGAGUUAAAACUUAGCUUUUCAUUUAUGAACAUGGCAGUGUUCACUGUUAACUGUUGCCAUUUCAGGAGACUGAAAGUUCCUCCUCACUCAAACUUUGUAAAGACCGGUGCUGUUCAUUCGUGUUGAGAAGGACCCUUUCCUUUGUGACUACAGGACCAUUUUUCAAAAUGUGCUUUCUUCAUAGAAGAAAUGUUCAGUUUCAUUAGCUUUGGAUUUUAAAAUGUUUUUCUGAAUGACCAGAUGUAAUGGGCUUGGCCAGUUUAUUUUAUCUAAUUUAAUGAAUAAUAAGUAUUAAGCUCUUGUUUUUACCUAAAUGUUUGUCAUCUAAUGAAAAUGUUAUGAAAAAGCCUUGACUAUGCAUGCUGCUUUCAUUUUUAUAAACUUUUCAUUUUUUAACUAUAGCUUUAUUAGUAAUUCCAAAAUGCUGCAAUUUAGCUUAUUUCUUCAUUCAAACAGCUGGCUUUGUGGGUGGCUUUUUCAUACUACUGUUAACUUUUUUUAAGAGAAGCAAUGUAAAGACAGUAACGAUUUAAUGCACUAAACUGUUCUUUCUUUUACACGUUUAAAAACUUCUUAAAGCACUCUGUAUUAUAAUGAUUAAAUUGCUCCCUUUUUUAAA